rnacentral:rRNA from 1 species
UAUUAAAGGCGACGCCUGCCCAGUGAACAAUUUAACGGCCGCGGUACCCUAACCGUGCAAAGGUAGCGUAAUCACUUGCCUAUUAAUUGUAGGCCUGUAUGAAAGGCAAAACGAGGGCCUAACUGUCUCUUAUAGUAAAUCAAUUAAACUGAUCUCCCAGUCCAAAAGCUGGGAUACCAACAUAAGACCAGAAGACCCUGUGAAGCUUAAACUACACUAUUAAACCAUAUAAUAACUCCUUUCGGUUGGGGCGACCUUGGAAAAAAAAAGAACUUCCAAACAAGACCCAGCAUAGCUGACAACUGAACCAAGUUACUCCAGGGAUAACAGCGCUAUCUUCUUCAAGAGCCCAUAUCAAAAAGAAGGUUUACGACCUCGAUGUUGGAUCAGGACAUCCUAAUGGUGCAGCCGCUAUUAAGGGUUCGUUUGUUCAACGAUUAACAGUCCUACGUGA